UACGAAGGGACCUAGCGUAGUUCGGAAUUACUGGGCUUAAAGAGUUCGUAGGUGGUUGAAAAAGUUGGUGGUGAAAUCCCAGAGCUUAACUCUGGAACUGCCAUCAAAACUUUUCAGCUAGAGUUUGAUAGAGGAAAGCAGAAUUUCUAGUGUAGAGGUGAAAUUCGUAGAUAUUAGAAAGAAUACCAAUUGCGAAGGCAGCUUUCUGGAUCAUUACUGACACUGAGGAACGAAAGCAUGGGUAGCGAAGAGGAUUAGAUACCCUCGUAGUCCAUGCCGUAAACGAUGUGUGUUAGACGUUGGAAAUUUAUUUUCAGUGUCGCAGCGAAAGCGAUAAACACACCGCCUGGGGAGUACGACCGCAAGGUUAAAGCUCAAAUGAAUUGACGGGGACCCGCACAAGUAGUGGAGCAUGUGGUUUAAUUCGAAAAUACGCGCAGAACCUUACCAACACUUGACAUGUUCGUCGCGACUCUAAGAGAUUAGAGUUUUCGGUUCGGCCGGACGAAACACAGGUGCUGCAUGGCUGUCGUCAGCUCGUGUCGUGAGAUGUUGGGUUAAGUCCCGCAACGAGCGCAACCCUCACUUUUAGUUGCCAUCAUUAAGUUGGGCACUCUGAAAGAACUGCCAGUGAUAAGCUGGAGGAAGGUGGGGAUGACGUCAAGUCCUCAUGGCCCUUACGUGUUGGGCUACACACGUGCUACAAUGGUAUCUACAACAGGAAGCAAGACUGCGAAGUUAAGCAAAUCCUUAAAAGAUACCUCAGUUCGGAUUGCACUCUGCAACUCGAGUGCAUGAAGCUGGAAUUACUAGUAAUCGUGGAUCAGCGUGCCACGGUGAAUGCGUUCCCGGGUCU
rnacentral:rRNA from 1 species